rnacentral:rRNA from 1 species
UACGAAGGGGGCUAGCGUUGUUCGGAAUUAUCGUGGGCGUAAAGCGCACGUAGGCGGAUUGUUAAGUUAGGGGUGAAAUCCCAAGGGCUCAACCCUGGAACUGCCUUUAAAUACUGGCAAUCUCGAGUCCGAGAGAGGUGAGUGGAAUUCCGAGUGUAGAGGUGAAAUUCGUAGAUAUUCGGAGGAACACCAGUGGCGAAGGCGGCUCACUGGCUCGGUACUGACGCUGAGGUGCGAAAGCGUGGGGAGCAACAGGG